CAACAAGCCGACCAGAGCAUGACACUGAUUGCAGGGAACAGACAAAUAUACGUGCCAGGAAGGAGAUCCCAGAAUUCCAGUUGAAAACCAACUAAAUCCACUAGUAUACAUGUUUUAAUAUUGGGAACAUAUGGUUUAAAUAUGAAAUAUCAUAUUUAGCCUUGAGCAAAGUAUAAAGUCAUAUUGGAUUGGUUAUAAAUGUGAUUAUAAAUAUUAAAACAUUUGACUAUAACAUUUUUCUUUGUCUUAUGUUUUAGUUGCAACAGUUAGUUGAUAUUUUUUGUAACAGAACAAAAUAUAUUAAAAUGUAAAGUAGCUUGUGAUCAAAUUAUUCUUUUUUGUUGUUGUUUGUUUGUAACCUAAAACAUUCCAAUCCUCAUGCAGUAGUUGGUGAAUUGUUGCCUUUCUCAGCUAUCCCACAUUGCUGGACAGAAGGUAAUAUGGGUAUGAUUAACAAACCUGUUUAACAAUAACAAAUAAUGAGAAUACAUGAUGCUUGUGCUUUAAGUAGUUUUUUUUUUUUUAUCUAGUGCCAGGAUGUUCAUGUUGUCAAAGCAUAUGUAGUGGCCACUUGACAUGCACCUCUAAACUGUGAUCCAUUUCUGUCCCUACCUGCUGAUGCAUCCUCAAAAGACUGCAGCCUUUUCCUAAAUGCAAGUCAAGUCACUGAACCCUCUCAAUUGCAAUAAGGAUGAUGUAUUUUACAGUACAGUCAGUAUCUGUGGACUGCGGUGUAUUUAUGCUAGUGUUGUAAAAAAAAGUUAUCUCUUUGGAAGUAUGCUCUUUAUAUGGCGCCUAACUGGGAGUUUGACCUCACCCAGCAUGAUAUGGUCCAUAUAAGGAGUUGGUGGAUGAAUCUGCUCUUAUCCAAAAUGACACAUGCCAUGUCAGAAGAAUUCAAGGAGGAGACAACAGCAGAAAGUGUUACGGGAUGCUUUUGAUACUGUAUACACCAGGGGUGUCAAACUCAGUCCUGGAUGGCCGGAGCCCUGUGUAAGGUUGAAAAUAAUCAAAGACUUCUGCUUUCCUGUCCCAAACCUAUCUUGAGUAACAAAAGGGCCAUUUGGCAUUCCUAAAGGCACAGGGGUGCUGAUAGUGAUCAAGGCCUGUAGGCCAACAUGUGUAUACAUCGGGGGUCUUCUAAUUGUCACACCUUUUGCCCAGUGUGUGAAGCUGUAAUCUGCUGAUUGGUCAGUUUGAAUGUCUCACAUUUGGGUUUUAGUCACAUGGUCAAGGAAGGGAUAAAAGGAGAUUGCAACUGUUGCUCUCUCUCUCUUUUCUUUGUUGCCUCUUUUCUUAGCUGGAGCUCUCUUCUUGGGGCUCUGCCCUCUCUCCCUCUUUUUCUUCCUCUCUACCCCACCCCCCACCCCC